rnacentral:rRNA from 1 species
UGGGGAAUAUUGCACAAUGGGCGCAAGCCUGAUGCAGCCAUGCCGCGUGUAUGAAGAAGGCCUUCGGGUUGUAAAGCACUUUCAGCGGGGAGGAAGGCGAUAAGGUUAAUAACCUUGUCGAUUGACGUUACCCGCAGAAGAAACACCGGCUAACUCCGUGCCAGCAGCCGCGGUAAUACGGAGGGUGCAAGCGUUAAUCGGAAUUACUGGGCGUAAAGCGCACGCAGGCGGCCUGUCAAGUCGGAUGUGAAAUCCCCGGGCUCAACCUGGGAACUGCAUUCGAAACUGGCAGGCUAGAGUCUUGUAGAGGGGGGUAGAAUUCCAGGUGUAGCGGUGAAAUGCGUAGAGAUCUGGAGGAAUACCGGUGGCGAAGGCGGCCCCCUGGACAAAGACUGACGCUCAGGUGCGAAAGCGUGGGGAGCAAACAGG